AAGAGAUGGCGACCGGCGCACGGGUGAGUAACACGUAUCCAACCUGCCGAUAACUCCGGAAUAGCCUUCGAAAGAAAGAUUAAUACCGGAUGGCAUACGAAUAUCGCAUGAUAUUUUUAUUAAAGAAUUUCGGUUAUCGAUGGGGAUGCGUUCCAUUAGUUUGUUGGCGGGGUAACGGCCCACCAAGACUACGAUGGAUAGGGGUUCUGAGAGGAAGGUCCCCCACAUUGGAACUGAGACACGGUCCAA
rnacentral:rRNA from 1 species